GUUAAAACGCUCGUAGUCGGAUCCCGGGGCGGGUGUGCCGGUCUGCCGAUGGGUAUGCACUGGCGUGCGCGUCCUUCCUUCCGGAGACCUUCCCUACUCUUAACUGAGCGGGGUGGGGAGACGGAUUAUUUACUUUGAAAAAAUCAGAGUGUUUCAAGCAGGCAUCUCGCUCUUGCAUGGAUUAGCAUGGGAUAAUGAAAUAGGACUUUGGUGCUAUUUUGUUGGUUUCGAACACCGAAGUAAUGAUUAACAGGGACAGUCAGGGGCACUCGUAUUCCGUCGAGAGAGGUGAAAUUCUUAGACCAACGGAAGACGAACCACUGCGAAAGCAUUUGCCAGGGAUGUUUUCACUGAUCAAGAACGAAAGUUAGGGGAUCGAAGAUGAUCAGAUACCGUCGUAGUCUUAACCAUAAACCAUGCCGACUAGGGAUUGGAGGAUGUCCAUAUCUGACUCCUUCAGCACCUUACGGGAAACUAAAGUCUUUGGGUUCCGGGGGGAGUAUGGUCGCAAGGCUGAAACUUAAAGGAAUUGACGGAAGGGCACCACCAGGAGUGGAGCCUGCGGCUUAAUUUGACUCAACACGGGGAAACUUACCAGGUCCAGACAUUGUGAGGAUUGACAGAUUGAGAGCUCUUUCUUGAUUCGAUGGGUGGUGGUGCAUGGCCGUUCUUAGUUGGUGGAGUGAUUUGUCUGGUUAAUUCCGUUAACGA
rnacentral:rRNA from 1 species